GGCCCGCCCAACCACCUCCUGCCUGCUUCUUUAAGUAGAAGCCGCGGGCGUUCCUCCGUCUUUCGGCGGCGGGGAAGCUUGCGAGAUCCGGCCGGCCACGGACGUCGGAUCCAUUGUCCUCCCAGCGCUUCGACCCUCCUUCCCUGAAGGCUCUCAAUAAAAUAGCUUGUUCCUACCA